rnacentral:rRNA from 1 species
UACGGAGGGUGCAAACGUUGCUCGGAAUCAUUGGGCGUAAAGCGCGCGUAGGCGGCGAAGCAAGUUGGAUGUGAAAGCCCUGGGCUCAACCUAGGAUGUGCAUACAAAACUGCUUCGCUUGAAUCUCGGAGGGGGUCAGGGAAUUCCCGGUGUAGAGGUGAAAUGCGUAGAUACCAAGAGGAACACCUGAGGUGAAGACGGGUUGCUGGGCCAACACUGACGCUGAGGCGCGAAAGCCAGGGGAGCAAACGGG